rnacentral:rRNA from 1 species
UGGGGAAUCUUGGACAAUGGGGGCAACCCUGAUCCAGCCAUGCCGCGUGAGUGAUGAAGGCCUUAGGGUCGUAAAGCUCUUUCGCCUGUGAAGAUAAUGACGGUAGCAGGUAAAGAAACCCCGGCUAACUCCGUGCCAGCAGCCGCGGUAAUACGGAGGGGGUUAGCGUUGUUCGGAAUUACUGGGCGUAAAGCGCACGUAGGCGGACUGAUCAGUCAGGGGUGAAAUCCCGGGGCUCAACCCCGGAACUGCCUCCAAAACUAUUGGUCUAGAGUUCGAGAGAGGUGAGUGGAAUUCCAAGUGUAGAGGUGAAAUUCGUAGAUAUUUGGAGGAACACCAGUGGCGAAGGCGGCUCACUGGCUCGAUACUGACGCUGAGGCGCGAAAGCGUGGGGAGC